rnacentral:rRNA from 1 species
GAUGAACGCUGGCGGCGUGCCUAAUACAUGCAAGUCGAGCGAACAGACGAGGAGCUUGCUCCUCUGACGUUAGCGGCGGACGGGUGAGUAACACGUGGAUAACCUACCUAUAAGACUGGGAUAACUUCGGGAAACCGGAGCUAAUACCGGAUAAUAUAUUGAACCGCAUGGUUCAAUAGUGAAAGACGGUUUUGCUGUCACUUAUAGAUGGAUCCGCGCCGCAUUAGCUAGUUGGUAAGGUAACGGCUUACCAAGGCAACGAUGCGUAGCCGACCUGAGAGGGUGAUCGGCCACACUGGACCUGAGACACGGUCCAGACUCCUACGGGAGGCAGCAGUAGGGAAUCUUCCGCAAUGGGCGAAAGCCUGACGGAGCAACGCCGCGUGAGUGAUGAAGGUCUUCGGAUCGUAAAACUCUGUUAUUAGGGAAGAACAAAUGUGUAAGUAACUAUGCACGUCUUGACGGUACCUAAUCAGAAAGCCACGGCUAACUACGU